rnacentral:lncRNA from 1 species
UCGGGGACUAAUUAUUUAUUAAUACUAUCUGUGAAUUGUUUGAGACUAAUAUGAAUUUUUAUAUUUGUCUUUUUAAUUUACGUUCUUUAUUUUUCUUUUGGUUCUUUUUUUUGUUCUGGAGUUUUUUUAAGUAGUGCAUGAGCAGCUAUGAAGAUUUUUGAUACCAUGGGUACUACAUGCUAUUAUUAAUGGCCAAUCGAGAGGGUAAAUUUGAAGAAUGUUGCUGCCACCACAAAUUCUGAUUCGGUUACUGUGUUAACCACUUAAAUUGCUGCAUUGACUUCCAAGAUAAAUGCCUUGAUUACUAUUAAGAUGAAGUCAGCUGUGGAAAAUCCGAUGAUCAUGGAAGAGGCAAAUUUUGUCAACAAUUGAAAUUUCAGGAAUUUUUAGCAGGAUGGAUCUGAAAGAGGAC